AGAUCCUGGUGAAGUCCAUGCUGCGGAAGCGCUCCUUCAGUAACCCGUUCGAGUGUCACAGCCGCAGGCAGGGCAGGUCCAUGUCUGCCCCUGGAGGUCUGACUGUGGAUAUGUCGCUGUUUCGCCCUCUAAGCAGAGGGAGUAACAGUAACGGAAGCAGAGAGGGGGAGCUGGAAAACCUUAUAGAGGAUGAAACUUUUCCUUAAAUUUGAAAGUAUCAUUUUUCACAUUGGCCCAGUUGUGGGAUUAGACAUUUUUUUCCCCCAUCUGCACUAGAGUAUUUUGAGCAUUACCAUGAUGUGUUACCUUUUAAAUUCUGUAUACUGUACACACUGCAUGAUGAAAGGUUAGAUUUGGAGGUACCUUUAACAUAUAAUGCAGAAUCUGGUAAUACUUAGAGUAAUAUUUGUGUUCCAUUGCAUUUACGUGCCAAAUUUCAAGUAAAAUUGAAAGAAAUUUAGAUUUAAAUGCAUGUAUAAAAAGA